rnacentral:lncRNA from 1 species
UAUGGAAGUACUUUUAUGUCUAUAUAUGUACAUUUGAUAUAUAACUAAUAUUGAAACGACCUUCGGACGGUUACCCGAAAUCCCACCAGACCACAUCCAAAUCGAGAAAAAGGAAAUAGGGCGGAUGGCCUUCCUAAGCCCUUUAAACAUUGCUUAUAUAUCUAUACAUAUAUGGGCAUGCAAUUUAUAAGAAGUAUAACAAAGUUUAAAUAAAAGUAUUUGAUAAGUAAAAGAGUUUGUAAAGCAGUUUGAAGUAAAACAGUUUGAUAAACAGUUUGAACAGUGAUAAAAUCAUUGGUUUUCUAGUUAUUAAUCACAUGUGAUUAAUGUAAUCACAUGUGAUUGAUGCAAUAACUAUAAGCAUUUAACUUGUAUCCCCCCCAUAAAGUAUUUAAAACAUUUAAAAGCAUUUCAAAGGUUAAUUAAAGGGGUAUGAACUCACUUGUGGUGAGUGGAUUGGAUUGAAGUGUCGGAUACCGUGCUAGGUGGCAAACGGAGACUUGUUCACACGCACGAGCCUAGUUAUCAUAUAAUGAGCAUAUAUAUAACUAAUUAGCCAAAUAAUAACUUAAUGAAAUAAGUUGGGACACUUAGGAACAUGUAAACACUUUGUAUAAGUGUUAUAGGUCCUAAUGGUUGCAUCUAAGUUGUUAUGGGACAAGGCUAAAGGGGUUUAAAGCUUCCAAGGACCUUGUAUAAGAGUUUACUACCCAAUAAACCCCACCCAAGGAGUUUACGGUCGUAAACCCUUGAGUUUACGGCCGUGAACUCCAAUCUUGGUGGUUUUGGGUGUUUUAAGGUGCUAAAUGAUUUCUAGAAUAAGCCUAGCUUGGUGGUUUAAUCCUUUGGGUAGUUUAGGGCAUAGAUAAUACUCCUUUGAGGAGUUUACGGCCAAAAGACCAUAUCCCUUAGAGUUUACGGCCGUAAACUCUCAUGGGAUGGAUGUUUUAAUUCUUUCAAGUCUCUUGCACAAGUAGGAUAAUUUCUAGGCUUUUGAUUUAGGCUAAGGGGAACCCUAGGCACACUUUGGUGCCCUUACUUGGAGUUUACGGCCCAAGAGCAUUUCUUGGCCGUAAACUCCCUUUUAGGGGUGAUUUUGAUGUGUUAAAGUCCCCAUUUUAGCUACAAGUAAUUGAGGGUUAAAGUCUAAAGCCUUAGGGGGUGAUUAGGGCACAUUAAGCCCUUGAAAAUGGUGUUUACGGUCCAAGAAACUCUUGGGCCGUAAAAUCCAAAAGCUUUGUGUUCUUGGAUGGUUUCUAGCCUCAAAUGAUCCAACAUUAAUUCCUUAACUAGUUGUCUAACAAGGAAUUGGGACUAGGUAGCCUUAAAGCUCGAUUUUGGAGUUUACUCCCCAAGUACGUUCUUGGGCGGUAAACUCCCGGAUCUUGCAUUUUAGACAUGUAAUCAAUGUUAUAAAGCAUAUAACUAGUAUUAAAACACAUCUAGGAAAGUAGACUCACGAUUUGGGAUGAAAACCCGAAGAUCCGUGAGAGAGAAAAUGGCUUUUCUCUAGUUGGAAAUGUGAAUAAUGAAUGAAUUUAGUUCAGAAAUCUAUUUAUAGUCCUGAAAUAUUUUGGCAGAAAAUAUUUUUAUUCUGGAAUUGGACUCUAAUAUUAUGAAGUUUUGAAAUGCUCAAGUUUCACAAACCCAUGAGCAUCCACUCUCCUGAUAUCUCCUUAAACGUAAACCCUAAUGUACACAAACUUAUUCGGAAAAGUCUGAAAUUCAUUGAAACUGGACUAGCUUCUAUUGAAUAGUUAAUGUUCGUACAAAAUGGAAAUUUCGGGUUGUCACAUCAUCCCCCCGUUAGAAGGAAUUUCGUCCCGAAAUUAGAAUUUAAGCAAAUAAGAAGUUACAAACAAUUAAGCGAAAAGAUGAGGGUAUUUCAGUUUCAUCUGAUCCUCGCGUUCCCAAGUGAAUUCCGGUCCUCGCUUGGCGUUCCAGCGAACCUUCACGAUAGGGAUACGGCUUUGCUUCGUCUGCUUGACCUCACGGUCCAUGAUCUCUACAGGUUCUUCCACGAAGUUGAGGCUCUCGUUGAUCUCGAUCUCGUCGAGUGGGAUUACAAGAGUCUCGUCGGACAGACACUUUUUCAAGUUAGAUACGUGGAAUGUAGAAUGUACGUUACGAAGUGCGUCGGGUAGGUCGAGUUUGUAAGCUACGGGGCCGACUCUUGCAAGAAUCUCGAAAGGCCCUAUGUACCUCGGAUUAAGCUUCCCACGCUUUCCGAAGCGUAUCAAGCCCUUCCAGGGUGAGACUUUGAGAAGGACUCGGUCUCCCACCUGAAAUUCCAAAGGUUUUCUUCGUUUAUCAGCGUAGCUCUUCUGUCGGUCUCUAGAGGCUUUUAAUCGUUCACGGAUCUGAACGAUUUUCUCUGUCGUUUCCCGAAUGAUCUCCGGACCGGUGAGAGUACUGUCGGAAGCUUGCCCCCUGGCUAAUUGGGUAUCACCCACCUCAGCCCAGCACAGAGGGGAUCUGCACUUUCGGCCGUAGAGAGCUUCAAAUGGAGCAGCCUUGAUGCUCGUGUGAUAACUGUUAUUAUAGGAAAACUCGACAAGGGGUAAAUGAGUAUCCCAUGCCUUCCCAAAGUCAAUCACGCAGGCUCGCAACAUAUCUUCCAGAGUUUGGAUGGUCCUCUCACUCUGUCCGUCGGUCUGAGGAUGGUAGGCUGUGCUCAUGUCCAGCCUUGUUCCUAGGGAAUGUUGUAGUGAUUGCCAAAAUCUUGAGGUGAACCUACUAUCUCUAUCGGAGAUAAUGGACAUAGGUACACCAUGUAGCCGUACGAUUUCCCUAAUGUAUGUUCUCGUAAGUUUCUCCAUCUUGUCGGUUUCUUUGAUAGGCAGGAAGUGUGCAGACUUGGUCAAUCUAUCAACGAUGACCCAUAUGGUGUCAAGUCCACCCGUUGUCUUGGGCAACUUGGUUAUGAAAUCCAUAGUGAUCCGCUCCCACUUCCAUUCCGGGAUCUCUGGUUGUUGCAAUAAACCAGAGGGCUUCUGGUACUCGACCUUAACCUUUGCGCAAGUAAGGCAUUUACUUACGAAGGUAGCAAUCUCUGCUUUCAUAUUAGGCCACCAGUAUAGCUUUUUAAGAUCCAGAUACAUCUUAUCUGAACCUGGGUGGACGGAAUACCGAGUGUUGGGCGCCUCGGUCAUGACCAAAUCUCGGAAACCACCGUGCUUCGGUGUCCAGAUCCGGUUCAUGAAAUAUAAAGCUCCGUCACCCUUGGCUUCUAAAUUCUUGUCCAUUCCUCUAAGGGAUUCACUCGUCACAUUUUCAGGUUUCAUGGCCUCAAGUUGAGCCGCCUGAAUUUGCUUAGACAAGUGCGAAUGGAUGGUUAUUGAUAAUGACUUAACUUUGCGACCAGAAUAUUCCUUCCGACUUAGGGCGUCUGCUACUACGUUGGCUUUACCCGGAUGAUAACGAAUAUCGCAUUCGUAGUCACUGAGUAGCUUGACCCACCGUCGUUGUCUCAUGUUAAGCUCCUUCUGAUCGAAAAUGUGUUGUAAACUCUUGUGGUCGGUAAAGAUAGUGCUCUUCGUUCCAUACAAGUAAUGUCUCCAGAUCUUCAGAGCAAACACCACUGCUCCUAGUUCAAGAUCGUGGGUCGUAUAGUUAACCUCGUGUGUCUUCAACUGUCUCGAGGUGUAGGCGAUGACCUUACCUCGCUGCAUCAGAACACACCCGAGCCCUUGAUUCGAUGCAUCGCAAUAGACUACGAAGUCUUUUAUCCCUUCAGGAAGGGAUAGUAUUGGUAUGGUGCACAAGGCUCUCUUGAGCGUUUGGAAUGAUUUCUAUUGUUUCUCUUCCCAGUCAAAGGCAACGCCUUUUUGGGUCAGGGUUGUAAGAGGUUUCACUAUUUGGGAGAAGUUCUGAAUGAAUCGGCGGUAGUAGCCAGCAAGACUUAGAAAUUGACAAAUUUCUGUAGGCGUCCUGGGUGCUGACCAGUUCUCAAUGGCUUUAAUUUUGGAUGGGUCCACGUGGAUUCCCUCUUCGCUUACCACGUGUCCUAAGAAUUCGACUCUUCGGAUCCAAAAUUCACAUUUCGAGAACUUUGCAUAUAGUUUCUCCUUUCGUAAGGUCCCUAGAACUUGUCGCAGAUGAUCGCCAUGCUCUUCCUUACUUCGGGAGUAUAUCAGGAUGUCGGCGAUGAAAACGAUGACGAACUGAUCCAAGUAAGGUCAGCAUACUCUAUUCAUCAGAUCCAUGAAGACUGCGAGCACAUUGGUCAAUCCGAAUGGCAUCACCAUGAACUCAUAGUGUCCGUAACGAGUUCGGAAUGCCGUCUUCGGCACUUCCUCCUCUAGCACUCGUAACUGGUGAUAUCUGGAUCUCAGAUCAAUCUUAGAAAAAUAGUUCGCCCCUUGCAGUUGGUCGAAUAGAUCAUCUAUGCGAGGCAGAGGGUAACGAUUCUUGACCGUCAAUUUGUUGAGUUCUCUGUAGUCAAUACACAUACGGAAUGAUCCGUCUUUCUUCUUAACGAACAAGACCGGUGCUCCCCAAGGUGAGAAACUUGGUCUUAUAAAGCCCUUGCUGAGCAGUUCGUUAAGUUGACCAGAGAGUUCCUGCAUCUCAGUUGGUGCUAAACGGUAGGGCGACUUGGCUACUGGGGUAGCUCCUGGGACUAAGUCAAUUCUAAAUUCGACUUGUCGUUGCAGAGGUAAUCCAGGUAUCUCUUCUGGGAAAAUGUCGGGGAAGUCGCUCACUACUGGGAUGUUCUUUAGUUCUUCUGUUUCGAGGAUCGUGUCGACGACGUGAGCAAGGAAUGUGUGGUAUUCUUUUCGCAGAUAUUUCUGUGCUUGAAUACUUGAUAUAAUGCGAAGACUCGCACCAGGUUUGUCGCCGUAGACUAUAAGAGUUUCGUUAGACGGGAGGUUUAGACGGACUGCUUUCUCGCAGCACAUGAUGUCGGCGCAAUGAAGACUUAACCAAUCCAUGCCGAUAAUAACGUAGAAGCUUUUUAUUGAGACCGAAAUGAGGUCGAUUGGGAAUGAAUGGUUAUCUAGAGUUAGGAUACAACCUAAGUAUAUGCUAUUUGUACUUUCAGUUUUCCCAUUAGCCAUUUCUACUGUGAAUUGUUCUUUAAGUGUGUGUGGUUGUUGUUUAAGCAUGCGAGCAAAUUUAUUGUUUACGAAGCUUUGCUCCGCUCCACUAUCGAACAGAAUGCAUGCAUAGGAGUUAUCAAGGAGGAACGUACCAGUCACCACUGUCGGGUCAGCAACUGCUUCCCCGUGGCCUAUANCAGCAUUUCUCGCUUUGCGGCAGUCCCUCUUAAAGUGGCCUGCUUCGCCACAUCCAUAGAAGGUUGGGCUCGCGCCAGAGCCGGGGACUUGGGUGAUUGGUUGUGUCGGGAACUUACAGAAACAGACAGUGUGUCCUUUCCUGUUGCAGUUAGAGCACUGCAUUUCAUGGCAGGGGCCGUUGUGGUGGAAGCUACAUUUGUUGCACUUCGGAAAACUUUCAGCAUACUGCUUCAUCGGAGCAGUAACAUCAGCAGGGGUUACCGCGACAUGCACUGUCACGAUUUGCUGCUUUUUGGCAGCUCGCUGCUUCUUCUUUUCAUCCCAGAAUUUCCGCUUAGUGUCAGCGGGUUUGGAGGGUUCCGGGAUGGCUAGGGUUGUUGUUGUUGCAGGGGUUUUGACUCCAUGGUCAAUGAGUCUUUGUGCCAAUCGCUUGGCACUGUCGAAGGUAGCGGGGUUUGAUGCUAAGACAUUCCCCUGAUACGGAGGCACUAGCCCCCAUAUGUACCGUUCGAUCUUUUUCCCCUCAGUGGGAACCAUAUUGGGGCAGAGGGCCACCAGUUCGCUAAAUCGGGCAGUAUAAGCGAUCACAUUGGUGCCCUUCAUGGUCAGGUUCCAGAGUUCCUGUUCCAAUUUCUGGACUUCGCCCCUCGGGUAGUAUUCCUCAGUCAUGAGGUCCUUCAUCGUUUCCCAGCCCAUGUCGUUAGCCACGACGAGAGUUAGGGCUUUGACGUGGCCGUUCCACCACGUUAGGGCUUUACCCUCAAAGGUGCAUGCGGCAUAUUUCACUUUGCACGCAGCAGGGCAUGAACAGAUUUCGAAGACUGAUUCAGUCUUCUCGAACCAUUGCGAGAGAGCAAUGACUCCGCCGGUGCCAUAGAAAGGCUUCGGCUUGCAGUUUGUGAAAUCCUUGUAGGAGCACUCUCUCGAGCGCACAGGGAUUUCGAUCGGAAUAGAUUCAACAGGGGUUCCACCUCUGCUGGCAUCUGAUGAGUGAUACUGAGCCAUGGCAGUUGCCACUGCUGCAGCUACGGCAGCAUUCAGGGCGGCAGUAUCGAUGACCGGAGGCGGUGGAGGCGGUGGAGGUGGUGGAGGUGCAUGGUUAUUCCUGGGAGAUUUUCGAGGAGGCAUCUUUCAGCUAUAAGUUUAUAAAGAUCAGAAAAUGAUAAGAAUCAAUUUGUAAGUAAUCGUGAGAGUGACACAUGGACAAACUAAUCAUAGUCCAACAGUUUGAAUGAGUGUUUGAAAACAUAACAAGGAAUAUUAGUAGGGAAAACACAAGUGUAUAGAUUUUUCCCACGUAUUAGAUAGAUGUCAAUCAUACUGGUAUUACUGAUGAAAUAAGUUCAGGGAAAAUCGAGCUAACAGUAGGUCUUACACCAUCGCUAACGUUCUAAAAACUUCGGUCCCCAAAUUAUGGUAAGAGUUGACCCUGCUCAUCACUCCAGCGAUUCAGGUUGGUUGCCCACAAGGAAGUAGGACCUGGAAAAGCUAGUCGGGGGUUGUUGUUCGGGGCUUGACCUACUAGCGGUAGGUUGUUGACUUCAGGCUCGGAGUCAGAUCCAUCAGAGAAGCUUUCUGCGAGGUGAUCAUCCAAAGGGAUUGGAUGGUCAUCUUCGGGCUCUUCUUCGAUCCACCCGGCAUUGCCUUCAUUUGGAAAGUACGGGUCGCCGUGAUGGAAUCCAGCCAUUUGAAUCUACGCGAGAAGAGAGGUAUAAGAAUAUAGUAUACAUGUAACUAGUAGUACAAAAUACACCUAUACUAUUUUAAGUUUAAGUUCUACUGAUCUUCUUGUGGUAUUGUUGGUAAGUUUUUAGACUUGUUAACACAUCACAACCAUUCUAGGGCAUAUGCUAAUCACUCUUAGGACCAGCAUAGUUGAUCAGGCUAUGCCAUUCCCAGGACUGACCAUACAUCCCCGAGCUCACUUGUGAUAUUUAACAAUCGUAAUACUUUUGUUCUUGUCAUUGUGACACUGAUUUUAGUAUGAAUGCAGACUAGUAUACUUAAUUAAAUAUUUUAAUAUUUAAAGUAUAGACUCUUGGUCAGAGUGCUUUAAUCCCUAAUGGGUUUAUAGUUUAGUAUAUCUUUUAUGGGUUGAUAUACUUGAUUCACUAUAAACAAUGCUCUGAUACCAAUCUGUCACACCCCAAAACCAAGAACGGCGGAAACGUUCUGGGGCGGAGGACGUCAUGUAUAGUAUCACAACACAGUAAAUGUAAAUAAGCAAACAACAUCAUCCAUUGCAUUAAAUAUAUAAUUUUAAUACAAGUGUGUUCUGUACAGUUAUAGACACCAAAAAUAAUGUAACACAAAAUAAUAUGAGAUGAGUCUUGAAUGCACUCCAUCUUCUCAAAAGCUGGCCUCGGUACCUGUCUACUGAUGACCUGAGAAUACAAGUUAUUUUGAAAGAGUUUAUCAGCAUUAAGCUGGUGAGUUCAUAAGUAUUUUAGUGUCAAUGUUUGUUGUCAAAAACGUUUGAACCUGUCUCAAUGUAUAAGUUUGUAAAAAUGUAAGUAAAUGUUUGAAAGUGUUUGUAAAAGUUUGAAUCUCUCAGAAAAUCCUAUAUUUUCUAUUAAAGUAACCUUCUACCAAGGCUUAACUGUUUUGUAAACUCGUCUGUUGUAAAAGUGUGUAAUUACCCAAGUAUAACUAUCAUUUGAUAAAAUAUAGUUUGUACAUUAAUGCUUAAGUGAGAUUAUCACUAAAAUAUGUAAUGGGUAAAUCAUUGUAGUACUGUAGUUUUGUAUAAUAAGAACUACUGUUGUACUAACUACUACCUUAAACCGGAUUUAUAUUAAGGUAUAAUGUGAUAAAUUGCACCAUGCUAUCGACUGGUAACAAUGACAUAAUGAAUGGUCAUAAUAAAAAGAAAUGACGUUUGGCACCCGUAGACCUGCAAGUCCGGCUGUAGCUAGCAGCAAGGUGUAGGAUAGUCAAUCCAGUAUAGAUCUAUACGCAAACUCACGCUCUCCCUCCAAGAGAAUUCUGGCUACAACUCGGGCCAUGACAUUUAAGGCAUGCUCCGACACAGUGGAUCACAAUUGUUAACGUAUUCAUGUAUAUGUAAUGUUUCUUGUUCUAGUAUAGUUGUACAUGUCCUGUUUCUAGUAUAGAUGUAUAUGUACAUCUUUCUAGUAUAGUAGUAUAUGUUCAUGUUUCUAGUAUAACUAUAUAUGUACGUGGUUCUGGUAUAGCUGUAUAUGUACUUGUUUCUAGUAUAGUUGUAUAUGUACUUGUUUCUAGUAUGAUUGUAUAUGUACUUGUUUCUAGUAUAGCUGUAUAUGUACUUGUUUCUAGUAUAGCUGUAUAUGUUCUUGUGUUACCCCGAUGGUAACUAACUAUGGAUGUACCGAUAAGUAGGAAUAUGGAAUUACUUUUAUGUCUAUAUAUGUAUAUAUGAUAUAUAGGUAAUAUUGAAACGACCUUUGGACGGUUACCCGAAAUCCCACCAGACCACAUCCAAAUCGAGAAAAAGGAAAUAGGGCGGAUGGCCUUCCUAAGCCCUUUAAACAUUUCUUAUAUAUCUAUACAUAUAUGGGCAUGCAAUUUAUAACGAAUAAACUAAAGUUUAAUAAAAGCAUUUGAUAAGUAAAAGAGUUUGUAAAACAUUUUGAAGUAGAACAGCUUGAUAAACAGUUGGAAC